UUAAAUUCAAUUAAGGGUUUGUUUCAGUUUUAUUAAUGGAAUUAGAAGCCUUUAAAUUAAAUGUAAAUUUAGGGUUUUGAUGAUAAAUGGAAAUUUGGUUUGAAAUGGGUCUUGAAAUCAAAAUGGUUGAAUGGGUGAAAUGGUUAGCGAUAUGGGUUGUUCCCAGGUCUAUUGAAGAUGUUUAUACUUGUUAUAAUGAAAGGAAUUGAGUUGAAAACGAUUUGGUUACGACAAAUGGUCCAAAAACUGCACUUAAAACCCAUUUUCACGAACAGCAAGAGCACGGCCUUUUACAGAGGCCGUCCUUUUUCAGAGCACGGCCCUUGUGUAUGGCCCUUGUUGGGAGCACGACCUUUGACAAGAGCCGUCCUCAUCAGCAAAGGCCGUCCUUCUCCUGGAAUUUUUGUAACUUUUCCGUUUGGUUAGUCGUCGACUUCUAAUGAUCCAAAACUUAUUUACUAGUCUUAUAUCAUCAUAAAAAGAGUAUCAAACUUGUUAAAACACACAUUUAAACACUUUGAUUUUCCAUCCAAGUCUAGUGACAAAAGAUGAACUUGAGUUAUGAUAUAGACUAACUAGUAAGUUGUAUAUUAUGGACACUUGGUAAUGACAAUGUCAAUGACGUUAGUAACUUGAGUCAAUUAUAUAUUGAACAUUAAAUCACAUUCUUGGUCAUGGCAUUCUAGGGUCUAUAGCUAAGUAGUUGUACGUAGGAUACUUGUCGUCGUGAGAUUUGAUCCUCGCCAUUGGUACUCAUAUCCUAGGUUUUGGAUAGACGUGGAGACUAGACUGCUCAUUUUCUUGGACUACUCAUACUUUUAGCUCUUUGAUCGCUAAGGUAACCAACAGUAAGUCUUGGAUCAUCUUGGCAUUAUAGGACCAUUCUUUUGACUUUGGACGUAUAAUUAGCGUCAGACAUUGGAGGACUAUAUUGUUCUUAGUUCUAAUUGUAAUAGACGGUCCAAACAUUUAUCUUGUAUUAAGUGGGCCCAAUUCCAUAUAUGGAUGACUUGUAUCCGUAUUCUGGGGUCCACAUUUGAACGAUUGUACUUGUAUUAGACUUGUAAUUGGUAUUAAAUGGAUGUAAUUUCUAUUA